ACGGUUUGGGUACGUUGUGG
rnacentral:misc_RNA from 1 species